rnacentral:rRNA from 1 species
CAGGUGGGGCAUGGCUGUCGUCAGCUCAGUGUCGUGAGGUGUUGGGUUAAGUCCCGCAACGAGCGCAACCCCCCUCCUCUGUUGCCAUCCCGCAUUGGUUGGGACUUUUUAGAAACUGCCCCGGUAAAAAGCGAGGGAGGUUUGGGGACGUCAAAUCUUCAUGGGCCCUUUGUCCGGGGGUACACACAUGCUACAAUGGGCAGUACACAGGGGGGCUACAGGGCAACAGGACGCUCUUUCUAAAA